AAGUAUUAGGGAUGAUUAGUAUACAUUGAUACCAAUCGAUAGUCAUAUCACAUAUACUGUAAUUUUAGAAUUUGAAAUGGUUAUUUGUGUUUGAGAUUCACUUCAGUCUAUUUACCAAACAAUUGACAUUUAGUGGAAAAUAAGUUUUUAAAAUGUGGAUGAGAAGCAAGUUAACCUAUGGCUUCAAAAGAUAGGCAAAAUGUUUUGGAAACUUACAUACAGAAACAGUUGAAAUUUCAAAAAAAAAAAAAAACAGUUGAAAUGUUAUUAAACUACAUGCAGUCAGUUUUUUUUAAUAACCAUCUACAAUUGGGAAACUGAGUAUCUCCAAUGUAUAACUCCAUUUUUUCCUUUAAAAUGAAAUAAAAGUGAAAAUAUGGUAAAAUUGCUCCAAUCCUACUCCAUUUUCCACUCUAUAAUGGAGUGAAGAACAAACAAAAAAUAAAUUACUCCAUUUAUGGAGUAAAUUUCAUUAUGGAGUGAGAUAUGAAGUUGGGUUGGAGCAUUCCUUACUCCAUAUUUACUUUUACUCUAUUUUAGAGGAAAAAAUGAAGUACGGAUAGAGAUGCCCUUAAGCACCUAUUACUAAUACAUUACCUGCCUCUUAAAAAGCAAAACGACCCGUACGAUGUUUCUUGUAAAGUCAAAACAAAAAAGGGCCACUUUGUGAAAGGUGGUGGAGAUAAUGUACAUAUAAUCAUACACUGACGUUGUAAUAGUAAGAAAUCAACCUAACACAUACGAACAUCUUUAAACAACUACGAACCAUACUUGACAUCGUUAUCCAAUCACCAUUGGUUGUUACUAACCUUUCUUUUGUCACUUAGUUGAUUACUUUUGGUAUUGAAUUUUGACACGUUACGAUUGUCCUUCAAUGCUCAGCUGCGGAUUGUACCCACACCGUAGAUUCGUUGGUUUCUUAACUAUAAACAGCAUCUACUCUAUACUAAAAGGAACAAAUAGUGUGUUUUAAGCCUAUCCACGUAGGCAAUUAUAUUCACCCAAUCAUAACAUUUGAUUAAUCCACGUAGGACAUCGAUUUUUUUUUAUUGGGUUUCUGGGUCGCGGACAAAACCAAACACAAAAUCAAAUGCUUUGGGUUUCUGGGCUUCGUUUGGUUUAUUGGGCUUGGUCUCAGUUUAUUAAAAAAAAAAAACCACCCGAGGCGGAAACCUCGAUGCUCCGCGCCUGCAUCUCUUCGUCUUCACCCUUUGUUCUUCAUCGUAACAGAAUUUUCGAUCCACAUCUCUACAAUCAAUACCCCACGACAUCUCCAUCCAUCAAUUGAUCCUUUAUGAGUUCGUUUCGGUUUGCUUUUUUCCUGCUCCUUUAUAAACUGUUCAUCUCUUUUGAGUGGAAACCAAAUCUCAAACUUCUCUCCUUACUCUAUGGCGAUCAAACCGAAUGGAAAAUCCCCUGUUACCUCCGAUCACGAUGACAAAAUCAUGCUUUUCGAAUCUCCAUCUCGGUUCAAUCAUUUUGGUAUGUUCGGUUAUACUGCUUUUUUGUGAUUAAGAUUAGGGUUCCAUAGUCACGCCUCUUCAAUCUGACGUUUCCGUUUUCGCUCAUCUCUUACUGCAAAGACAAUGAAGUCUUUUCUCAACUCUUAGCAUCCUCUGUCGUUCAACUUCUCUUUCUGGCCAAUAAAUGUGAAAGGAAUCGUUUUUGGCAAGCAGGCAAUGCAAAUCACAGUGCAUCAACGGAGGAAGGUACUGUGCUCCUGAUACAACGGGAGAGACAUGAUCGAUCAGGAUUUGCGGCAGGCUUGCUUCUUUUUCAAAUACUGAGAAUCACGUGUUCAGAGGUGAACAAGAAGCACAAGUUGGGAAAGGCUCGCGAGGAGAUGUGACAAUAUUACCAACUAUUAUGAUAAACAACAAACAACCCAGAGGUGAGAGAAGCAAGGAUGUUCUGUUGGAGAGAUCGGUGGUGCUUAAGGACCUUUGCUCAGGGUUUAGCGAGACGACUGAGCCACACAUAUGCUUAAACAAAGGUCCUCUCUAUCCUUCCUAUACAUAUCUCUAUUUGAUAAACACUAAUUUUAACGUAUGGUUCUGUGAUUGCGCAGGCAGACAUAGAAACCAACGAGUGUUUGCAAAACAAUGGAGGGUGUUGGGAGGAUAAGACUAUCAACAUUACAGCUUGCAGGGUGUGUAAGAUCUUAAAAUAAUUUUUAUUGUUUUGUUAGAGUUAUGUUAUAUAUAUAUCUACGUAUAUGUUACAGUAAAAAGGAGUCUCUUUAUUGCAGGCCACUUUCAGAGGAAGAGUAUGUCAAUGUCCUGUUGUUCAAGGUGUCAAGUUUUGGGUGAAGGUAAAAAAUAAUGCUCAAAAGUAUGUUAUAAUUACCGUAAUGAUAUUUUUUCACAUGUAUAAACAAUGGAGGAUUCUGGAAACAUACUCAAAUGGGAAGAACAUAUUCGGCUUGCUGUGUAAUAUGGCAUAUCUCAAAACUAACUAACUUCCCCUCCUCUGUUUAAACAUUCCCUCUCUUUCUAUAUAUCUGACUUACAAUGAUUAAUUCUUACCUCUUUUUCAAAAAAAAAAAUGAUUGAUUCUUACCUUUUAUUUUAUUUCUGUAGUUGUUGCUGCUGUUCAGUAUGAUCAUUCAAAAGGCUGCAAAUGUCCACCUGGAUUAAAGGGAGUUGGGCUCAAAUAUACAGUUUGUGAAAGUCAUGACUCAUGAGACUUGAACUGGAAAUGGUGGAGAAAGAAAAGAAAGAAUUCAUCUCUCGAUUUCUCCAAGGUCAGUAUCUUUCAUUCAGUUUUUUAAAACAUAUAUAUGUUUAACAAUGUCCAAAGCUGUCUUUUUCAUUUGUUUUGGUUAUGUUAGUUGUAACAAAGCUUAUAUAUCAAAUAAAUGCAGGAUUUGGAGGAAUGUUGCAGCUAAAACAGUCACUACACGUGUUCUUUAGGUGCGGAAUCGGUAAUGGUCGAACAGCUUCCUUCUGGUACGAUUACUUGACUGAGUUAGGGCAUAUUGGGGAUCUCUUGGGUCCUGCGGGAUCAACAACUUCGCAUACAGUGGAAUGCAACUUUUUCAGUAGCAACACGUCUUGGAAAUUAUUACUUUCCUCCCGUACGUUUUCUUAAUGCAGAAACUCCAAUGGUUGGUAUUUCUUCUACACAACAUCCAUAAAAUUCUUAUGCGAUGAUGUGUAUUUGUGGUGAGGUCCUGCUUGAAUUUUUUUAAAUAGAUUGAUCUCCUCCAAAGUGACAUAGGAACGGCUUAGACAACCUGCACCUGUUGUUUCUUGCCAUACUACGGUUUGGUUCAAGCAAGAAAUUCCAGGAUGUUCUUUUGUUACUUGGAUUGCUAUGUCAUCUAGACUCCCUUCUAGAAAUAGGCUGUUGUCUUGGGGUUUGACUGUCCUUGCAAGCUGUGUUCUAUGUACGAAUGGUACAGAGUCUCAUGGACAUCUCUUCUUCCACUACGCUUUCGCAGUUGGAUUGUGGAACAUAUUCACGGGGAACCAGCUAGACAUUGGCCCAUCAGACUUCUUGGACUCGGUGGACUGCAUGACUUAACACCGGACAGUGCAAACAUCUUCAAGCUGCUACUGCAACUCAUCAUGUAUAAUAUAUGGAGAGAACGUAACUGCAAGAUUUUCAGACAAACUUCCUCUUCUGCUGAGGCGGUUCUCAGUAUAAUUGAUUGAUCAAUGAAGGAUAAGCUUCUCUCCAUUCCAACAGUUUACAUCUCCCUCUAUGCUCUAGCUCUACUUCUAAUUCAUUGAACCUUUCAGCUAAUGAUGCUCACUCUUUGUUUUUCAUUUUCUUUGUUUCUCCUCCUCUGUCCUCAAAAGAGAUAAUAAAAUGAGAGGAGAUUUUGUUUCGGUUUGACUCGAAAAGAAUCUAAUCGCCAUGUAACCAUUUUGAGUAAUCAUGUCAUUGACUUUGGCUCCGAUGUAUUAGAUAUAUAUUGGUGUUAGCUUUGUCUCCUCCCAGUUCAAUUAAAUUGUAUUAUAUACUUUUAAAUUAUUUGAUCAAUGUGAACAAAGCAUGUGUUUCCACGCAUUAAAAUAAUGAACACUAUUCUAAAUUUUAAUAGAGAUAUAGAUAAAAUUAUAAAACAAACCGACAUGUAUGAAAUUAUGAAUAUGUCAUCAAUUUAAUGAAAUUAGGUUAUUAUGUUGAUUAAUUGUAAAAGCCUAUCAUAUAUUUUCAUUAAAAAAAGUCUAUCAUUUUAUUAUAAAUUGUUGUCUUGAACAAUAUUUCAGCUUAAACUUUUAAUUUAACAAAAUUAAAUUUAUAUAUAUUUAAAACAUCUAUUACUCUCAAAGUAUAAAUGAAAUUUUUUCGAACAAUUUUAAAAUGUUUAACAACUAAAUAUUCUACCAUAAUGAGCUGAAUUUACAUCAAUAUUGUUUUUAGGUCCAAUAUUAGUCCAUUUUAACAAAUAAUAAAGAAUUUACAAAUUAAAUAUUAUUUAUAAGAAAUUUUUUAGCAUAAGUAUUCACGGGUGUAUAAUACCAACUCAAUAUCACUAUGCUUCUUCCACAUAACCAUUAUAUAUCUUCAAAAAUGGAUUUCAAAUCAUUCAUUAUAAAUCAAUAAAAAACUCCAUAAACAAAUCCAAAGAAAUAUUAUUGCAUGUGCAGAUCAAUCGUCGAGGAGCAGACAACGUUGGUAAUAUCAUGGAACCAUCAAUCAACGAUUUUAACCAAAAGCACUCAAGAUAACCGGGUAUGAGCAAGUGCAACAGAACAGAAGUCACUUGCAUCAUUUCUAACCAGAUCAAAAAACAAAAAAAUUA